rnacentral:misc_RNA from 1 species
AAGGUUGUAGCUGGCCUCUCAAGGCACGUGCACGCCCGAGCCCUUGAAUCCCACGACACACCUGUGAACCCACCGUAGGCCUUCGGGCUUAUGCAUCGUUAAUAUUACGCCGUAUGUGACAUAGAAUGUUAGAGACGAAUGGGAAAAAUGAUAAUACAACUUUCAACAACGGAUCUCUUGGCUCUCGCAUCGAUGAAGAACGCAGCGAAAUGCGAUAAGUAAUGUGAAUUAGCAGAUUUUCAGUGAAUCAUCGAAUCUUUGAACGCACCUUGCGCCCCUUGGUAUUCCGAGGGGCAUGCCUGUUUGAGUGUCAUUAAAUCCCUCAACCCCUCAGGGGGCUUGGACUUUUGGAGCGUGCUGGCGGUGAUCGUCGGCUCCUCUUUAAAUGCAUCAGCGGAACCCUCGUUCCCCGUUUCGGCGUGAUAGAUCUAUGUUGCGCCGCGUAGGGGGUGGUCAAGUGGUUUUUCCGCUUCC